UACAGAGGGGGCAAGCGUUGUUCGGAGUUACUGGGCGUAAAGGGUGUGUAGGCGGUUUUCUAAGUUUGGUGUGAAAUCUCCCGGCUCAACCGGGAGGGUGCGCCGAAAACUGGGAGACUAGAGUGCGGGAUGGGAGAGUAGAAUUCCUGGUGUAGCGGUGAAAUGCGUAGAUAUCAGGAGGAAUACCGGUGGUGUAGACGGCUCUCUGGACCGCCACUGACGCUGAGACACGAAAGCGUGGGUAGCAAACAGG
rnacentral:rRNA from 1 species